rnacentral:rRNA from 1 species
GAAUUCUGGACACUGGGGGCAACCCUGAUCCAGCCAUCCCGCGUGUGCGAUGAAGGCCUUCGGGUUGUAAAGCACUUUUGGCCGGGAAGAAAAGUCUCUGCCUAAUACCUGGCGCUGCUGACGGCCCCUGCAUAAUAAGCACCGGCUACCUAUGUGCCAGCAGCCGCGGUAAUACGUAGGGUGCAAGCGUUAAUCGGAAGUACUGGGCGGAAAGCGUGCGCAGGCGGUUCGGCAAGAAGGAUGUGAAAUCCCAGGGCUUAACCUUGGAACUGCAUUCUUAACUGCCGGGCUAGAGUAUGUCAGAGGGGGGUAGAAUUCCGCGUGUAGCAGUGAAAUGCGUAGAGAUGCGGAGGAAUACCGAUGGCGAAGGCAGCCCCCUGGGAUAAUACUGACGCUCAUGCACGAAAGCGUGGGGAGCAAAC